AGAGUUUGAUUAGGGCUCAGAUUGAACGCUGGCGGCAGGCUUAACACAUGCAAGUCGAGCGGCAGCGGAAAGAAGCUUGCUUCUUUGCCGGCGAGCGGCGGACGGGUGAGUAAUGUCUGGGGAUCUGCCCGAUGGAGGGGGAUAACUACUGGAAACGGUAGCUAAUACCGCAUAAUGUCGCAAGACCAAAGUGGGGGACCUUCGGGCCUCACACCAUCGGAUGAACCCAGAUGGGAUUAGCUAGUAGGUGGGGUAAUGGCUCACCUAGGCGACGAUCCCUAGCUGGUCUGAGAGGAUGACCAGCCACACUGGAACUGAGACACGGUCCAGACUCCUACGGGAGGCAGCAGUGGGGAAUAUUGCACAAUAGGGGAAACCCUGAUGCAGCCAUGCCGCGUGUGUGAAGAAGGCCUUCGGGUUGUAAAGCACUUUCAGCGGGGAGGAAGGCAAUGGCGUUAAUAGUGUCAUUGAUUGACGUUACCCGCAGAAGAAGCACCGGCUAACUCCGUGCCAGCAGCCGCGGUAAUACGGAGGGUGCGAGCGUUAAUCGGAAUUACUGGGCGUAAAGCGUACGCAGGCGGUCUGUUAAGUCAGAUGUGAAAUCCCCGGGCUUAACCUGGGAACUGCAUUUGAAACUGGCAGGCUAGAGUCUCGUAGAGGGGGGUAGAAUUCCAGGUGUAGCGGUGAAAUGCGUAGAGAUCUGGAGGAAUACCGGUGGCGAAGGCGGCCCCCUGGACGAAGACUGACGCUCAGGUACGAAAGCGUGGGGAGCAAACAGGAUUAGAUACCCUGGUAGUCCACGCUGUAAACGAUGUCGAUUUGAAGGUUGUGGUCUUGAGCCGUGGCUUUCGGAGCUAACGCGUUAAAUCGACCGCCUGGGGAGUACGGCCGCA
rnacentral:rRNA from 1 species